rnacentral:rRNA from 1 species
GAUGAACGCUGGCGGUGUGCCUAAAACAUGCAAGUCGAGCGAUCUUCUUCGGAAGAGAGCGGCGGACGGGUGAGUAACGCGUGGGUAACCUGCCCUGUACACACGGAUAACAUACAGAACGGUAUGCUAAUACGGGAUAACAUAAGAAAUUCGCUUGUUUUUCUUAUCAAAGCCCCGGCGGUACAGGAUGGACCCGCGUCUGAUUAGCUAGUUGGUGGGGAAACGGCUCGACAAGGCGACGAUCAGUAGCCGACCUGAGAGGGGGAUCGGCCACAUUGGAACGGAGACACGGUCCAAACUCCUACGCGAAGCAGCAUUGGGGAAGAUUGCACAAUUUGCUAAAGCCUGAUGCAGCAACGCCGCUUGAGCGAUGAAGGCCUUCGGGUCGUAAAGCUCUGUCCUCAAGGAAGAUAAUGACGGUACUUGAGGAGGAAGCCCCGGCUAACUACGUGCCAGCCGCCGCGUAAAAC